rnacentral:rRNA from 1 species
GACGAACGCUGGCGGCGUGCUUAACACAUGCAAGUCGAACGGAAAGGCCCUGCUUUUGUGGGGUGCUCGAGUGGCGAACGGGUGAGUAACACGUGAGUAACCUGCCCUUGACUUUGGGAUAACUUCAGGAAACUGGGGCUAAUACCGGAUAGGAGCUCCUGCUGCAUGGUGGGGGUUGGAAAGUUUCGGCGGUUGGGGAUGGACUCGCGGCUUAUCAGCUUGUUGGUUGGGUAGUGGCUUACCCAGCCUUUGACGGGUAGCCGGCAUGGGAGGGUGACCGGCGUCCUGACGACUGCGGUAGGGCCCAGACUGCUACGGGAGGCAGCAGGGGGGAAUAUGGCACAAUGGGGGGAAGCCUGAGGCGGCAACGCCGCGUGCGUGAUGACGGCCUUCGGGUUGUAAACCGCUUUCGCCUGUGACGAAGCGGUAGUGACGGUAAUGGGUAAAGAAGCACCGGCUAACUACGUG